rnacentral:sRNA from 1 species
GCUGAGCUCAUGAGCUCCCAGAGCUAACCCCUGACCACCCAGGCAGGCAAAGGGCUGAUGUCGGUAGCCCCCAUCCUGGAGGGGCAGGCUCUGCGCAUCUGCUCCUGGCAUGGCGCUGCGGCACCUCGCCCUCCUGGCUGGCCUUCUCGUGGGAGUCGCCAGCAAGUCCAUGGAGAACAUGGCCCAGCUGCCCGAGUGCUGUGUGGAUGUGGUGGGCGUCAACGUCAGCUGCCCAGGCGCAAGCCUGUGUGGUCCAGGCUGUUACAGGCGCUGGAACGCGGACGGGAGCGCCAGCUGCGUCCGCUGUGGGAACGGAACCCUCCCAGCCUACAACGGCUCCGAGUGUAGAAGCUUCGCUGGCCGGGGUGCGCCAUUCCCCAUGAACAGAAGCUCAGGGACCCCCGGGCGGCCACAUCCUGGGGCUUCGCGCGUGGCCGCCUCCCUCUUCCUGGGCACCUUCUUCAUCAGCUCCGGCCUCAUCCUCUCCGUAGCUGGGUUCUUCUACCUCAAGCGCUCCAGUAAACUCCCCAGGGUCUUCUACAGAAGAAACAAAGGGCCGGCCCCCGCAGGGUCCCUUCCAGGCAGAUGGUCCAGCCAGCAGAUCGGACCCCGAGCCCCGGCCCUGCAGCCUGGCGAAGCCGUAAGUAACCCGUGUCAUCCGGGCUGAGUGUCCCCGGCCGCGUGUGCCUGUGCUGGGCCAUCCCAAGUCCUCACUCUGCCUUUCUCUCCUUUUCAAGGCUGCAAUGAUCCCCCCGCCACAGUCCUCAGUACGCAAGCCGCGCUACGUCAGGCGGGAGCGGACCCUGGACGGGGCCACGGACCCCGCUGCCUUCUCGGCGGAGGCCCGUAUCAGCAAUGUCUGACCUGGAGGCCGAGACCGCGCCACACACUUGGCGGCAGGGACCCGGAGGCCGACCCCUUGGCGGGAACCCAGCACAAAGGGUUGGCAUUGCCCGGCGCCUGGGACAGUCCUGGGCACAGCCUCAGCUCUGAGUCCCUCCGUCUCCCAGCGACAGACGCCAAGGGGUCCCGGGCCGCCUGAGGCUCCUUCCCACCACAGCCAUCUCGUUUAUCGGACCAGGAGCAGGCAUCCGUGAGACCUCAGAGCUUCAGAUCAAGGCCUUGGGGGGUCUGGGCCCCCAGGAAAUACGGUGAGGCCCCAGCGCCUGCAGCCAAGAUGGAGGCCUGGCUCAGGCAGCCAAAGCUGGCAUGAUCUGUGGGGCAGGCGCCGCUCUGCCUAGAAAAGCCAGGGGCUCCGCUGCCAUGCCCUCCGGAGCCCACAACGGGCAGGACACCUCCAGCACCACCGCACCCCGUGGCCCGAGACCCCUCUGGGGACAGUGAGGCUGGUCCUCGUGCCGUUCCAGCCGGUGCCCAGCCAGUGGGCAGGAUGCAGCCUAGGAACCAGCUGCCUGAGACCAGGGUGCCUCUGGGCUGUCCCCCUGCGUGGCGGAGACCCCAAGCACGCAGCCACCCAUUUCCGGAGCUGCAGGAUAGAGCUUCCUCUGGAUCUCUUUGUUUUUAAGCAGAAAUUCAUUGUGCAGAAAAGUCCUCCAGAGCUCUGCGGCCCCGCUCGGAUCCGCUGGACCCCCGUGCCUGGCUGAUCCCUGCCCACGUAGGGCAGGCCCACAUCUAACCCCCACAAGUCACUGCCUCACUGGACCUGCUGAGGCUGCCCUGGUGCUGUCUGAGGCGCUGUCUGAGUCCUGGGGUCCCUCCUGGAGUUGCUGGGAGAAAGGCGCCGUUGUGGCCGCCUCCCGCACGCCAGGCUUGGGGCUCCACUGUGGGUCUCAGAUGCCCUGCGGUACCGGCACUGUCUGCUUUAGCAUCGGAUCCCCAUCUGAGGGGUGGCCUGGCCUUCGGGGUCCCCACGUUCCUUUGCGAAGUCCGCUGUGGGUGCCAUCAUGGUCUCCGGGACCUGGGCCAGCGGGAACGUGGGGGGCCCUUAGUGCUGAUAUAAAGUCGGCAUUACGCAA